GGUCAGACGGAUCGAGGUGAUGGCUUUGUCCCUGCUCCUCGGGCUCUUGCUGCUCUGGGUCUCAGACUCCAAUGGGCAGAUUGUGGUCACUCAGACUCCAGACGCCCAGUCUGAGUUUCCUGGAGGGACAGUCACCAUCAACUGCAAAACCAGUCGGAGUGUGACGGAAAGUUCAGGUUCCAACAGUUUAAACUGGUACCAGCAGAAACCCGGACAAGCGCCUAAGCUGAUCGUUAAACAGGCCACCACCCUGAUGCCCGGGGUCCCGGCCCGAUUCAAAGGUAGUGGGUCUGGGAUGGAUUUCACUCUCACCAUCAGCAAUGUGGAAGCUGACGAUGCCGCAGAUUAUUACUGUCAGCAAGGUUAUAGCACUCCGCUCGCACAGUGCUCCAGUCCUGUACAAAAACCUCCCCCAGCUGGCUGA